rnacentral:rRNA from 1 species
CUGCAACUGCAACUCGACUCCAUGAAGUCGGAAUCGCUAGUAAUCGUGGAUCAGAAUGCCACGGUGAAUACGUUCCCGGGCCUUGUACACACCGCCCGUCACACCAUGGGAGUGGGUUGCAAAAGAAGUAGGUAGCUUAACCUUCGGGAGGGCGCUUACCACUUUGUGAUUCAUGACUGGGGUGAAGUCGUAACAAGGUAACCGUAGGGGAACCUGCGGUUGGAUCACCUCCUUA